ACGAAGGGUGCAAGCGUUAAUCGGAAUUACUGGGCGUAAAGGGUGCGUAGGCGGUUCGUUAAGUCUGUUGUGAAAUCCCCGAGCUCAACCUGGGAAUUGCAAUGGAUACUGGCAGGCUGGAGUACGGUAGAGGAAGGUGGAAUUCCCGGUGUAGCAGUGAAAUGCGUAGAGAUCGGGAGGAACACCAGUGGCGAAGGCGGCCAUCUGGGACAACACUGACGCUGAAGCACGAAAGCGUGGGGAGCAAACAGGA
rnacentral:rRNA from 1 species